rnacentral:lncRNA from 1 species
GAACACUGUGCAUCUUAUAAUCGACAUGACUUUAUCAGAUGACAAUCCCAAUACUGAAAUAAGGCAUACGCAUAGUUAUAUACUUUAAUUCAGUCACAGACCCGCGAUAUCACGGUGGUGUUCUAGUGUGUACUAAGUUUCAAAUUGAUUUGACUUCAACUUUAUCAAAAACUACCUUGACCAAAAACUUUAACCUGAAUGGGACAGACGAACGGACAGAAGGACGGACGAACGGACGAACAGACCAGAAAACAUAAUGCCCAUAAAUUGGGCAUAAAAAGUGAUUUUUGGAAAUUGCUGGCAACACAAUGGUUUAGUUUGAAAAAUCAAAACUGUGAUUAAAUACAUAUUUGAAAUAAUACACGUCUAUAACCUAUUUGAAAUAAUACACAUAUACAGUUGCAAACUUUCCAGAGGUGCUAUCCAGCACUUUGAUUAAAU